rnacentral:rRNA from 1 species
AUUGAACGCUGGCGGCAGGCCUAACACAUGCAAGUCGAGCGAGCGGCGGACGGGUGAGUAAUGUCUGGCAAACUGCUUGCUGGAGCGGGAUAACUACUGGAUACGGUCGCUAAUUCCUCCUACCAUCAGAUGUGCCUAGAUGGGAGUAGCUAGUGGGUGGGUGAACGGCUCACCUAGGCGACGAUCCCUAGCUGGUCUGAGAGGAUGACCAGCCACACUGGAACUGAGACACGGUCCAGACUCCUACGGGAGGCAGCAGUGGGGAAUAUUGCACAAUGGGCGCAAGCCUGAUGCAGCCAUGCCGCGUGUGUGAAGAAGGCCUUCGGGUUGUAAAGCACUUUCAGCGGGGAGGCGUUACCCGCAGAAGAAGCACCGGCUAACUCCGUGCCAGCAGCCGCGGUAAUUC